AUACGGAGGGUGCAAGCGUUAUUCGGAAUCACUGGGCGUAAAGGACGCGUAGGCGGGUUGGCAAGUCAGAUGUGAAAUCCUACAGCUUAACUGUAGAACUGCAUUUGAAACUGCUAACCUAGAGUAUGGGAGGGGGAGAUGGAAUUAGUGGUGUAGGGGUAAAAUCUGUAGAUAUCACUAGGAAUACCGAAAGCGAAGGCGAUCUCCUGGAACAUAACUGACGCUAAGGCGUGAAAGCGUGGGGAGCAAACAGGAUUAGAUACCCUAGUAGUCC
rnacentral:rRNA from 1 species